GAUGAACGCUGGCGGCGUGCCUAAUACAUGCAAGUCGAGCGAACGGACGAGAAGCUUGCUUCUCUGAUGUUAGCGGCGGACGGGUGAGUAACACGUGGAUAACCUACCUAUAAGACUGGGCUAACUUCGGGAAACCGGAGCUAAUACCGGAUAAUAUUUUGAACCGCAUGGUUCAAAAGUGAAAGACGGUCUUGCUGUCACUUAUAGAUGGAUCCGCGCUGCAUUAGCUAGUUGGUAAGGUAACGGCUUACCAAGGCAACGAUGCAUAGCCGACCUGAGAGGGUGAUCGGCCACACUGGUAGUGAGACACGGUCCAGACUCCUACGGGAGGCAGCAGUAGGGAAUCUUCCGCGAUGUGCGAAAGCCUGACGGAGCAACGCCGCGUGAGUGAUGAAGGGCUUCGGAUCGUAAGACUCUGUUAGUAGGGAAGAACAUAUGUGUAAGUAACUGUGCACAGCUUGACGGUACCUAAUCAGAAAGCCACGGCUAACUACGUG
rnacentral:rRNA from 1 species